ACAUUUCUUUUAGAUUAUAUUAUAAGUAAAGCCUGCCCACUGAUUAAAUAAAGGGCCGCGGUAUUUUGACCGUGCAAAGGUAGCAUAAUCAUUAGUCUCUUAAUUGGGGAAUGGAAUGAAUGGUUUAAUGAUUUUUUUCUAUAAUAUUUAUUUAUAAUUGAAUUUUGAUUUUAAGUGAAAAUACUUAAUUUUUUUUAAAAGACGAUAAGACCCUAUAGAAUUUUAUUCUUGAUAAAAAUUAUUAUUUUUAAUGAAGUUUAAAUGGGGCAUUUUUUGAAUAAUAAAAAUUUCUUACUAAAUAUUAAAAAACAUCUUUAUUAAAAUAAAAUUAAAAAAUUACCUUAGGGAUAACAGCGUAAUAAUUUUUGAGAGUUCUUAUCGACAAAAUAGUUUGCGACCUCGAUGUUGAAUUAAAAUACCUAAAUGGAGCAGCUUUUAUUUAAGGUAGUCUGUUCGACCUAUAUAAUUUUUACAUGAUUUGAGU
rnacentral:rRNA from 1 species